rnacentral:tRNA from 1 species
GGCCUCGUAGCUCAGCUGGUAGAGCAUGCGCGUACAAAGCGUAGGCGGUGUCCAUGCGUGGGUUCGAAUCCCAAUGAGACUA